GGGUUGUGACUUGUUGAUCCAGGCAUGCCUAGGCCUAAUUUCAAUGUCAGAAAAUGGUGGCUUUAAGAUUUUUGCAGUCUGCGACCACCCAGAGGAAAGCAUUUGGCCAAUCACUGUGUCUACCUGAGUCUACAGCAAAAUGUUUUCAAUGGACACACCUGGAGUGGCAACAGGGUUGAUGGUCAGUUGGUUUUGAAGUCUAUGUGAAGCUUCCUUCAAGGUAAAGUGCACUGGAGCUGCAACUUCUGAGGUUUUGGAAUAAAAGGGGAUGGAAUUUGCCUGGCGUCAUACUCCCCACAUUCAGAAAACAGAUUUGGAGAUCCAUUGAAGCCAGCAAAACUGCAUGUGUGUCUCUACCCUACAUCAGGCUUGGUGGGAAGAUACAAAAAACGUCCUUACUGUAAACACAAGUGUCCCUGCGAUUCUUGACACUGAAUUGGUGACCCAUGUCCUUCCAUAUUACCCAUUUUAAUCAAGAUUCAACAAAACUUUUAUUGUACCCCAACUAUUGAAAUUAUUAUUUGAAACUA